AAAUCACAUUAAUAGGACAACUGAAAUUGUGCACGUCAUUUUGGGCUUUGUUCUAACCCAACCUAUUGUAUCGUUUGUCCAAUUACAACAUUUCUGACAAUAUUCGUUAUGAAGUUCCAUACAA
rnacentral:sRNA from 1 species